rnacentral:rRNA from 1 species
AACGAACGCUGGCGGCAUGCCUAACACAUGCAAGUCGAACGAGACCUUCGGGUCUAGUGGCGCACGGGUGCGUAACGCGUGGGAACCUGCCCUUAGGUUCGGAAUAACUCCCCGAAAGGGGUGCUAAUACCGGAUAAUGUCUUCGGACCAAAGAUUUAUCGCCUUUGGAUGGGCCCGCGUUGGAUUAGCUAGUUGGUAGGGUAAAAGCCUACCAAGGCGACGAUCCAUAGCUGGUCUGAGAGGAUGAUCAGCCACACUGGGACUGAGACACGGCCCAGACCCCGACGGGGGGCGGCAGGGGGGAAUAUGAGAGAAGGGGCGAAGGCCUGCCCCAGCAUUGCCGCGUGAGUGAGAAAGCCCUUGGGGUUGAAAAGCUUUUUUCCCGGGGAUGAUAAUGACGGGACCGGAAAAAGAAGCCCCGCCUACCCCCGUG